UACGGAGGGGGCGAGCGUUAUUCGGAAUUAUUGGGCGUAAAGGGCGCGUAGGCGGCUUGAUAAGUCAAAGGUGAAAUCCCUCGGCUCAACUGAGGAACUGCCUUUGAAACUGUCUGGCUUGAGGCCGGGAGGGGGUAGCGGAAUUCCCAGUGUAGCGGUGAAAUGCGUAGAUACUGGGAGGAACACCGGUGGCGAAGGCGGCUACCUGGACCGGUUCUGACGCUGAGGCGCGAAAGCGUGGGUAGCAAACAGG
rnacentral:rRNA from 1 species